AAUGAACAAAUAGAGCAAACCUCACCCCCAUUCCAAACUCAUACACAAAAUUUCAAACGCAAACCAGGAAUCGAAUGAAAUACCUUUCCGAUGCGGUCGUCUCUUUGAUCUUAAAAUGGUUUGAAUAUCCUUUAGCUAUGAAUAUGGGUUUGAUGGAUCUGAGUUUGCUGAAUGGGUUUGAUGGAUCUGUUUGGUAUGGGUAAGAUCUGUUUCUCUAAGAACAACUCUAUCUUCUACCUUUCUCUGGUUUUCUGAUUGUUUUAGAAAAUUUCCUCCUUCUGUUUGUCUCAAUUUAUAAUAGAAACGGCUAGUGUUUUCAUUCAUUGUACAAAUACAUGUUCUGAAUUUCAUUCAUUGUACAAAUACAUGUUCUGAAUUUUGUAUUGUUACUCAACAAAAAUUCAUUGGAUUUUACACUGUUUUUGUAAUAAAAUUUAAGCAAGGUACCGAAAAAAAAAAAAGAAGGCUGUUAAUUUUACAUUGUAUUUCAUUUUUUUAUUAAGGUAAAAAAAAUAAUCAAAGAAACCGGUUUAUAACAUGUUUGCAACAGGGAUCUUCACAAGAUAUAGAAGGUCUUUGCAAGUUGUUUCUCAGCAAUUGUUUUUUUUGAGUGAUGCUGGGUUGAAAGGAAACUUUGUUGAACAAAACCUAGCAACAUUGAAGACGUGUGAACGGAAGGAAACGUGUGGCCAGUGUGAACUGAAGAAACGUGUGCCCAGCAAUGGUUGCAGAUCAAUUAAAAAAUAUUUUAUUUCUUUUUCCUUUUUAUUUUAUUUUUAAUAUAUACUUAGAAUAUAAAAUAAUGGUAUUUUUGAAAAUGGUUG
rnacentral:lncRNA from 1 species